AGAGUUUGAUCCUGGCUCAGGAUGAACGCUAGCUACAGGCUUAACACAUGCAAGUCGAGGGGCAGCAUGAACUUAGCUUGCUAAGUUUGAUGGCGACCGGCGCACGGGUGAGUAACACGUAUCCAACCUUCCGUUUACUCAGGGAUAGCCUUUCGAAAGAAAGAUUAAUACCUGAUAGUAUGGUGAGAUUGCAUGAUAGCACCAUUAAAGAUUUAUUGGUAAACGAUGGGGAUGCGUUCCAUUAGGUAGUAGGCGGGGUAACGGCCCACCUAGCCGACGAUGGAUAGGGGUUCUGAGAGGAAGGUCCCCCACAUUGGAACUGAGACACGGUCCAAACUCCUACGGGAGGCAGCAGUGAGGAAUAUUGGUCAAUGGGCGAGAGCCUGAACCAGCCAAGUAGCGUGAAGGAUGAAGGUCCUACGGAUUGUAAACUUCUUUUAUACGGGAAUAAAGUAUCCUACGUGUAGGAUUUUGUAUGUACCGUAUGAAUAAGCAUCGGCUAACUCCGUGCCAGCAGCCGCGGUAAUACGGAGGAUGCGAGCGUUAUCCGGAUUUAUUGGGUUUAAAGGGAGCGUAGGCGGACGCUUAAGUCAGUUGUGAAAGUUUGCGGCUCAACCGUAAAAUUGCAGUUGAUACUGGUUUCCUUGAGUGCAGUUGAGGCAGGCGGAAUUCGUGGUGUAGCGGUGAAAUGCUUAGAUAUCACGAAGAACCCCGAUUGCGAAGGCAGCUUGCUAAACUGUAACUGACGUUCAUGCUCGAAAGUGUGGGUAUCAAACAGGAUUAGAUACCCUGGUAGUCCACACGGUAAACGAUGGAUACUCGCUGUUGGCGAUAUACUGUCAGCGGCUUAGCGAAAGCGUUAAGUAUCCCACCUGGGGAGUACGCCGGCAACGGUGAAACUCAAAUGAAUUGACGG
rnacentral:rRNA from 1 species